rnacentral:misc_RNA from 1 species
CCUACGGGUGGCAGCAGUAAGGAAUAUUGCGCAAUGGGCGAAAGCCUGACGCAGCGACGCCGCGUGGGGGAUGAAGGUCUUCGGAUUGUAAACCCCUUUCGGGAGGGAAGAUGGAACGAGCAAUCGUUCGGACGGUACCUCCAGAAGCAGCCACGGCUAACUUCGUGCCAGCAGCCGCGGUAAUACGAAGGUGGCAAGCGUUGUUCGGAUUUACUGGGCGUACAGGGAGCGUUGGCGGUUCGGUAAGCCCUUUGUGAAAUCUCCAGGCUUAACCUGGAACAGUCGGAGGGGACUGCCGGGCUAGAGGACGGGAGAGGAGCGCGGAAUUCCCGGUGUAGCGGUGAAAUGCGUAGAGAUCGGGAGGAAGGCCGGUGGCGAAGGCGGCGCUCUGGAACGUUUCUGACGCUGAGGCUCGAAAGCGUGGGGAGCAAACAGGAUUAGAUACCCGUGUAGUC